UACGGGGGGAGCAAGCGUUGUUCGGAUUUACUGGGCGUAAAGGGCGCGUAGGCGGCCAGCACAAGUCAGUUGUGAAAUCUCCGAGCUUAACUCGGAAAGGUCAACUGAUACUGCGGGGCUAGAGUGCAGGAAGGGGCAACUGGAAUUCUCGGUGUAGCGGUGAAAUGCGUAGAUAUCGAGAGGAACAUCUGUGGCGAAGGCGGCUUUCUGGACGGUGACUGACGCUGAGACGCGAAAGCGUGGGGAGCAAACAGG
rnacentral:rRNA from 1 species